rnacentral:hammerhead_ribozyme from 1 species
AUCCAGCUGACGAGUCCCGAACGGGACGAAACGCGAGUCCUGGAU